rnacentral:pre_miRNA from 1 species
AGUAGGAUAGCUGGGUCAAAUGGUGGUUCCAUUCCAAGUUUUAUGAGGAAUCCCCAUACUGCUUUCCAUGGUGGUUGCACCAAUUUGCAGUCUCACCAGCAAU